CAGCAGCCACGGGAAUACAGAGGGUGCAAGCGUUAAUCGGAUUUACUGGGCGUAAAGGGCGCGUAGGUGGUUAUGUAAGUGAGAUGUGAAAUCCCCGGGCUCAACCUGGGAACUGCAUCUUAUACUGCGUAGCUGGAGUGCAGUAGAGGGUAGUGGAAUUUCCGGUGUAGCGGUGAAAUGCGUAGGUAUCGGAAGGAACACCAGUGGCGAAGGCGGCUACCUGGACUGACACUGACACUGAGGCGCGAAAGCGUGGGGAGCAAACAGGAUUAGAUACCCCUGUAGUCCCUGUCUCUUAUAC
rnacentral:rRNA from 1 species